rnacentral:sRNA from 1 species
GCCGGGUGUGGUAGUGUGCACCUGCAAUCCCAGCUACUCAGGAGGCCGAGGCAGGAGAAUCACUUGAACCCAGGAGAUAGAGGUUGCAGUGAGCCAAGAUUAUGCCACUGCACUCUAGCCUGGGUGACAGAGUGAGACUCUGUUUCCA